rnacentral:rRNA from 1 species
GACGAACGCUGGCGGCGUGCUUAACACAUGCAAGUCGAACGGAAAGGCCCUGCUUUUUUGGGCUGCUCUAGUUGCGAACGGGUGAGUAACCCUUGGGUAACCUGCCCUUGCCUUUGGGAUAACUUCAGGAAGCUGGGGCUAAUCCCGGCAAGGAGCUCUCGCCGCUGGGUGGGGGUUGGAAAGUUUCGGCGGCUGGUGAUGGACUCGCGGCGUGUCAGCUUGUUGGUUGGGUAGUGUCUUAGCAAGGCCUUGCCAGGUAGCCGGGCUGAGAGGGUGACCUGCCAAACUGGGAUUGAAAUACGGCCCAGACUACUACGGGAGGCGACAGUGCAGUAUAGUGUACAGUGGGCGGAGCCCUGGUGCAGCCCCGCCGCGUGGGGGGUGACGGCCAUCGGGUUGUAUUCCGAUGUCGCCUGUGACGAAACGUGAGUGACGGUAAUGGGUAAAGAAGCACCGGCUAACUACGUG